UCCGGCUUAUCACCGGCAGUUUCUUUAGAGUGCCCAACUAAAUGAUGGCAACUAGUAGCGAGGGUUGCGCUCGUUGCGGGACUUAACCCAACAUCUCACGACACUAGCUGACGACAGCCAUGCAGCACCUGUGUUCUAGCCAGCCGAACUGAAGAAAGGCAUCUCUGCCGAUCAAACUAGACAUGUCAAACGUGGGUAAGGUUCUUCGCGUUGCUUCGAAUUAAACCACAUGCUCCACCGCUUGUGCGGGCCCCCGUCAAUUUCUUUGGGUUUUAACCUUGCGGCCGUACUCCCCAGGCGGAGAGCUUAAUGCGUUAGCUGCGUCACCAAUAAGCAUGCUUACUGACAACUAGCUCUCAUCGUUUACAGCGUGGACUAC
rnacentral:misc_RNA from 1 species